UUUGAGAAAAUAGCUGAUUUAGAUAUGGAGUGUCGAACACGGCUCAUCCUUUGGUUUUCACACCAUCUGUCAAACUUUCAAUUCAUUUGGCCAUGGGAAGAAUGGGCUUAUGUCUUAGACCUUCCUAAGUGGGCUCCACAGCGUGUGUUUGUUCAAGAGGUUUUGGAGAGAGAAGUUCGUCUAUCAUACUGGGACAAAGUUAAGCAGAGUGUCGAGAAUGCACCUGCUUUAGAGGAGUUGCUUCCACCAAACGGAAGUCCAAACUUCAAUUACAGUAUGGAAGAAGGC
rnacentral:misc_RNA from 1 species